CCUACGGGAGGCAGCAGUGGGGAAUAUUGGACAAUGGGGGCAACCCUGAUCCAGCCAUGCCGCGUGUGUGAAGAAGGCCCGCGGGUUGUAAAGCACUUUCAGUGAGGAAGAACGCCUGGUGGUUAAUACCCAUCAGGAAAGACAUCACUCACAGAAGAAGCACCGGCUAACUCCGUGCCAGCAGCCGCGGUAAUACGGAGGGUGCGAGCGUUAAUCGGAAUUACUGGGCGUAAAGCGCGCGUAGGUGGCUUGAUAAGCCGGUUGUGAAAGCCCCGGGCUCAACCUGGGAACGGCAGCCGGAACUGUCAAGCUAGAGUGCAGGAGAGGAAGGUAGAAUUCCCGGUGUAGCGGUGAAAGGCGUAGAGAUCGGGAGGAAUACCAGUGGCGAAGGCGGCCUUCUGGACUGACACUGACACUGAGGUGCGAAAGCGUGGGUAGCAAACAGGAUUAGAUACCCCUGUAGUA
rnacentral:rRNA from 1 species